rnacentral:misc_RNA from 1 species
GAUGAAGAACGUAGUGAAAUGCGAUAAGUAAUGUGAAUUGCAGAAUUCAGUGAAUCAUCGAAUCUUUGAACGCACAUUGCGCCCCCUGGUAUUCCGGGGGGCAUGCCUGUUCGAGCGUCAUUUCACCACUCAAGCCUCGCUUGGUAUUGGGCAACGCGGUCCGCCGCGUGCCUCAAAUCGACCGGCUGGGUCUUCUGUCCCCUAAGCGUCGUGGAAACUAUUCGCUAAAGGGUGCUCGGGAGGCUACGCCGUAAAACAAACCCAUUUCUAAGGUUGACCUCGGAUCAGGUAGGGAUACCCGCUGAACUUAAGCAUAUCAAUAAGCGGAGGA